UACGGGGGGGGCAAGCGUUGUUCGGAAUUACUUGGCGUAAAGGGCUCGUAGGCGGCCAACUAAGUCAGACGUGAAAUCCCUCGGCUUAACCGGGGAACUGCGUCUGAUACUGGAUGGCUUGAGUUUGGGAGAGGGAUGCGGAAUUCCAGGUGUAGCGGUGAAAUGCGUAGAUAUCGGAAGGAACAUCAGUGGCGAAAGCGACUUCCUGGACCAAUACUGACGCUCAUGUGCGAAAGCGUGGGGAGCAAACAGG
rnacentral:rRNA from 1 species